GGGGGGGGGAUCUUACACAUGCAGUCGACGAUGAUGCCCAGCUUGCUGGGUGGAUUAGUGGCGAACGGGUGAGUAACACGUGAGUAACCUGCCCUUGACUUCGGGAUAACUCCGGGAAACCGGGGCUAAUACCGGAUAUGAGCUACCUUCGCAUGGGGGUGGUUGGAAAGUUUUUCGGUCAGGGAUGGGCUCGCGGCCUAUCAGCUUGUUGGUGGGGUGAUGGCCUACCAAGGCGACGACGGGUAGCCGGCCUGAGAGGGCGACCGGCCACACUGGGACUGAGACACGGCCCAGACUCCUACGGGAGGCAGCAGUGGGGAAUAUUGCACAAUGGGCGAAAGCCUGAUGCAGCGACGCCGCGUGAGGGAUGAAGGCCUUCGGGUUGUAAACCUCUUUCAGCAGGGAAGAAGCGCAAGUGACGGUACCUGCAGAAGAAGCGCCGGCUAACUACGUGCCAGCAGCCGCGGUAAUACGUAGGGCGCAAGCGUUGUCCGGAAUUAUUGGGCGUAAAGAGCUCGUAGGCGGUUUGUCGCGUCUGGUGUGAAAACUCGAGGCUCAACCUCGAGCUUGCAUCGGGUACGGGCAGACUAGAGUGCGGUAGGGGAGACUGGAAUUCCUGGUGUAGCGGUGGAAUGCGCAGAUAUCAGGAGGAACACCGAUGGCGAAGGCAGGUCUCUGGGCCGCAACUGACGCUGAGGAGCGAAAGCAUGUGGACCGAACAGGAUUAUAUACCCUGGUAGGGCAUGCCGUAAACGUUGGGCACUAGGUGUGGGGGUUCUUCCAAGA
rnacentral:rRNA from 1 species